GUAUAAUUGGAAUUCGGAAGCGAACAGAAUUUUAUUUUAAAAUAUCGUUUUAGUGAGAAUGAUUUUGUAUAAUUUUGUAGGAAUUUUGAUGAAAAAGUAAUUUUCCGUAAGAAAUUUUCUUGUUAUAUUUUGUUUAACUUGAAAACCACGAAGGCGAAUUCGACAAAUUUGAUUAGGUGUUGCUGCGCGAUUCUACGCGAAAUUUUAACCCGUUAACGAAACAAAAGGUAAAUGUAGUGCAUGUUCCAUAAUGCGGUUCGCCAAAAAGUAGUUGAUUGUUGGAUAAAUAACAAAAAAAAAUGAUUUUCCAUUCUUCAUAACAAAUAUUUCAAACUACAUAUUUUACGUUUCUACUUGGUACUGCUAGAUAAUUCAAUUCAUUUAAACGUAUGUUGAAAUUUUCCAAUAUUUUAAAUCAAAUAAAUUUUUCUCCAUCCAUUAUUUCAAAAUUUAUCCUGAGAAAUUGAUAUUUUUCCCAAAAAUUGAAUGUAAUACAAUUUCAAUAUGAUAUACGAGGUAUAUCCACAAAGAAAGUUCCAAUCAUAUGAUAGAAUUGCUCCAAUAAACCUCAAAUUCACUUUGAUUCGAAAUAGUAGUACAUGGAUCCUUCUGAUCAAUAUAAAUGAUAAUUAGAUAAGUAAGUAACUUGAAGAUGUGAUUUCCAUUCAAAUGACUUUCUGAGUAAUCUGUUGAGAUUUUCCUGAUCUUUGAGAACAAAUCUGUUGGGUUAAUGAGAUGAUUGUGUGAUGAAUGUCUUUGGAAUUUGAUCAAAAAUGAGGCAGGCAACCGCCGCGAUAUGGAAAAGUGAUUCGUAAUUUUCGGUAUCGAUUUCGGUGUGUCGCGAAUCAGUUUUAAGUGAUGGACAUCAUGGAAAUGGAAAAUGGAUAUGGAGGCUUUCCUAUAUGGACAAAGUUAUGUGUUUGUGCGCGAUUCGACGCGAAAUUUUAACCCGUUAACGAAACGAAAAAUAUAUAGUGUGCGAAUCGAUAAAGUGGUUUGCCAAAAGGAAGGAAUAAAUAACAAAAAAACAUAUUUCUUCAAUUUUUAUAACAAAUAUGUAUUUCAAACUACAAAUAUGUGUUUCUAAAAUGGAAAUGCUGCUGCAUCAGGAAUAUAAAAAUAGAUGUAAAAUUCUAUUUUCUAUUAUCGUUUUUCUGUGUCACGUUUCUUUCCAAAACUUAACCUGUCUGAAAAAAAAAUUUUAUGUAAUAAAUUUUUUACAAAUUAAAUUUACAAAUAUAAAAAAAAUUAUAGAUAUCUGGAGAAUAAUAUUCGAAUGAAUUUGUCUUUUUAUGUUUGGUAUUUUCAGUUGAGUAAAUUGAAAGUAUGUGUGUGAUAAUUAUUGUAUCUUGUAUGCGUGUGCCGUUUUGCAAUCUUCAUAUCGAUGGCUACUUCAUUUGUUAUAAAUUUUCGUUUUUCUUUCCCAAACUGGACCUGAAAUUUAAAAAUAUAAAAUGUUGUAAACUUCGGAUAUGUGAAUUACUUUGAUAAUAAUUGAAUGAUAAAAUUAUUAUACACUAUUUUGUUCUAAUACGGAACUUAAUAAAAUUGAAUUUUUCGAAAUGAAAAUUACAUUUUUUUAAUAAUAAUUCGAUUUUCUGGACAUUUUAUUUUAUAAUCGACUAUGAACAAUUUAAUCAAACGUUAAUUGUUUCUAAGUUAUAUCAACCCUUAAAAAAAGAAAACUGCAUCUGUUUCUUUUUUAAUUCUGAAUGUUUUCUGCUCAAGUUAGUUGAAUGUAUAUGUGUAAUAAUAUAUUUUGCAAAAUAAAAGAUUUUCUCAAGGGUUUAUUGAAUAUCGAUAGCUACUUCAUUUGUUAUAAAUUUUCAUCAUUCCUGCCCAUGUUCGACUUGAAAUUUGAAAAGAUAAAAUGCAAUAACUAUCUAAACUAAACUUCGAAUCUUACUUAUAGACAAUUAAAUAAUAAAAUCAUCAUAUAUCGUUUUUUCUAAUGCAGAACUUUACAUAAUUAAAUUAUUCGAAACUGCAAUUCCAUUUUAACAAUAAUCAUUUGAGAAAAAAACAUCUUCUGGGCUAUUUUAUUAUAGAAUUGACUUGUAAAAUUUUUCCAAACGUAAAUUAUUUCUAAUAUAUAUCAAUCAUUUAAAAAAAAGUCUGAAUCUGUUUAUUUUUAAUAUUCUCUGAUUAAGUUAAUAGAAGAAAGUAUUAUGUAAUAAUGAUAAAUACCAUUUAUGGAAUGGAAAUUUUCCAAAGUCCAUCAAAUAGGAAGCAAACUUGUGUGAAAAAUCAAGUUUUCCAAUCUUCAUAACGACAGCUAUAUCAUUUGUUAUAAAUUUUCGUCUUUCUUUCCCAAACUGGACCUGAAAUUUAAAAAUAUAAAAUAUUGUAAAAUUCGGAUCUGUGGAUUACUUUGAUAAUUGAUUGAUAAAAUUAUUAUACACUGUUUUGUUCUUAUGCAGAAAUUGAUAAAAUUGAAUUUUUCUAAACUAAAAUUCCAUGUUUUUAAUAAUCAUUUGAAACAAAAAUUAUUUUCUGGACUAUUUUAUCAUAUAAGCGACUUGGAAAAAUUUUUCAAAGUUAUUAUACAUCGUUUUUUUCUAAAACAAUUUUUUAUAAAAUUGAAUUUUUCGAAACUGAAAUUCCAUGUUCUAAUAAUCAUUUGAAAAAAAAAAUCAUUUUCUGGACUAUUUUAUUAAUUAAGUCAGUUGGAAAAAUUUUCAAACGUAAAUUAUUUCUAAUUUAUAUCAUUAAAAAAACACUGAAUCUAUUAAUUUUUAAUAUUCUCUGGUGAAGUUAACACAAGAAAGUAUGUAUGUAAUAAUAAAUACCUUUCACGAAAUUGAAAUUUUCCAAAGUCCAUCAAACAGGAAGCUAACUUGUGUGAAAAAUUAAGUUUCCCAAUCUUCAUAUCGACAGCUAUUUCAUUUGUAUAAAUUUUUAUAAUUUGUAUAAAUUUUUAUAAUUUGUAUAAAUUUUCAUCCUUCUUUUCCAUUAUCGACUUGAAAACUUGAAAUUUGAAGAUAUAAAAUCAUAUGAUAAAUAUCGUAAACUCCGAAACAUUUAAUUGAAUGAUAAAAUUAUUAUACACUGUUUUUUUUUCAAUUUUUGAAAGUUAGAAUUUUAAUAUUCUCUAUUAAUUUUUGGAACAAACGGUCUUGGUGUUCAGAAUUUUGAACCUUUCACCACAAAAAUACUAAGAAGAAUGAAAAAUGCCCCACCCCACAUGUUCUGAUCGCUUUGUUGGGAUUGGCUACAUCUUUCGAACCCUUGUUUCGAUUGGCCGAGAACAAAGUUGGGUGAAGGAAGAAGGGCCUCUCUUAUAAAUACGUCGUUUCUCUCAGUUAUAGGUCAUACCAUUUUAGAUUUUCGCGGCGCUUAAGCUUACGUUGUAACUUAUUAUUCAAAAUCAUUUUGAAUAUUUUUGUGAAUUGUGAAGUGCAUCAUUUACAAAUGUAAGUAAUUUCUGUCUUUUCUAUUUUGAUUUUUGUAUUAUUGAUGUUUAAUAUUUUUGUGAAUAUAAAAUUUAUUCAUUUUUAUUUUUGAAUUUAUUUUUUAAAUUAUAUACUGGGUAUAUUUUUAUCUUUUGGACUCAUUUCAUUUUUUAUUUCUGGAAUUGUGAUAUUUUAAAAUUGUUUUUUUCUUCUUUAAUUUUUUUUUUCAAUCUUAAAUUAUUUUCUUAUAUUUUAAAUUUCAAGUGUAAUUUUGUGGAUAAAUGUUAAAUUUUCACUGUAUAAUUAUCCCAGAUUUUCAAUUGUUACUCUGAAAUUAGUUAUUCGUUGUUACUGUAUUCUUGCAUAAAUUUUAUUUCCCGUAGAAGAUCUUUUCAUCUUCGUUUUGAGUUCUUACAAUUUUUUUCAUUAUAAUACUUUAAUGAAAUUUCUUAAGAAUACUCUAAACUAUCAUUCGAAUUUAUUAAAAUUUAUUAUUUUCUUGUAUCCAAAUCCAGAAGUAAAUUCACAAAUUCAAAAUUUUCUCGUAAUUCAGUAAUUGUCUCAUACCGCAUGUUUCAUAUCUUUUUUUUUAUUUUUGAGAGGUGGUUGUUAUAGAAACGUUCAAUUUGAAAAAUUGUAAAAAAAUUCCCUAUAUUGAGUUUAAUUUCUAGUUUCUAUUUUUUCUACUAAUGUUUAAAAUUUAUCUGAAUAUGAAUAAUUAGAAUGGUCGAAAAAAAAAUGUUUUUGUAGUAACACAAGAAUGAAUAGCAUAUUGUGAUAAAAUGAAAAAUAUGAAAAAAAAUAAAUAAUAGUAACACUUAAGUUUUUAAGUUACAUUUUCAGAAUCAUAUUCAUUUGUAAAAUAUUUAUUGAAAAAAAUAAUUUCACGGUUUUUAAAUCUUACAUAUUUUCACCAUAAAUGAACUGCGGCGCGUUUGACUCGACAUUUUCGUCUUUAUAUUCACUUUUUGCAUUAGGAACAGAAGAGAGCCGCUUACUAAGAAACUAAUUUUUAAUGUUAUUUUUAUGUUUAUUAUUCUGAAUAAUAGAGUUCAGGUACUUUUUCGGCUAUAAAAUGUACCGAUUUUAUCCGCCCCUUUAUAAAAUUACCUACCUGCUAGCCAAUAAAAAUAGGGAUAAUUGAAUUAUUGAAAAGUCCUAGGUAUUAGGAAUUAAUGAAUAUUUUUUUUAUUAUUAGACUGGUAUUUCCAUUUUAAAAAUUAAUGUCUCACUUGUGUUAUGAAAUUCUUGUCGACCAUUUUUAUUAUACACAAAAAAUUUAGGGAUAUAUCAUAAAAUAUUGGGGUGCAGUAAGUUUUAUUUUUAUAUAAAUGAAUGAAUUAAUUAAAAGGUUAGGUAAUGACGAUAAAUAGCGGCUUGUGAUAAAUUCAUCCGAGAAUUAACUUUGGACGAAAUAUGACGGAUCGCAGUAAAAACAACCAUCUAUCGUUAAAAAAAAACUGAACUUGUUAUUCAAAUAUUGGAGAAAAAAAUGGUGACAUCUUGUUGUGGUUGGGCUGGUGCAUCAUACUCUGCAAAAAAGUUCAUUGACUGCGUUUCUUUACUGACAGGCCGUUCCGGAUUUUGAGCUGCUGGUGCUGGUACUUGUUUGAUUUGUAGGUGCAUAGUCGGGUAAUUGUGUCUGGUGACGUCUCGUUUCGACGGUUAGCAGUUUUUAGCCGGUCUAUAGUUUCCAUUUUUCUAUUGUGCGUACUUGGAAGAUGAUGGAAGUUUUUUUAUCAUCAUUUUUCGUAACAUUUAUCGUAGGGCAUAGUAUGUGAAACGAGUUUUUUAUCAUGUCGUGGCGUAAAAACGUGAGUAGGAUCUUGGAAUAAAAACUGGAAAACGGUCGAAGGAUGAAAAAAGUCGUGAAUGAGGGAGGGUGUACCUGUUUAAUGCAUUUUUACGCGAAUUUUCAUAUAAAUGAGGAUAAUGAUUUAAGAUUGGAAAAGGCGAUAAAUAGCGGCUUGUGAUAAAUAAAUACGAGAAUAGCUUUGGACGAAAUAUGGCGGAUCGCAGAAGAAACCUAACCAACUAUCGCUGACAUAGCUGAAGUUGUCAUUCAAAUAUUUGAGAAAUUUGGGAUUUAUAUUAGACAGAUUAAAUUUCUAUCAACAAUUAACCUCUCAAAUUAUGUUGAAAUAAAUUUGAAAAUUUGUUUUAUAUUCACAAAGUUCAUAAAUGAUGCACGUCCUAUUUUUUUAUGCACGCACUGUAUUUAUAAUUGCGACAGAGUAAUAAUUGUUAGCGUUGUUCCUUGCAAAACUAAUACAUGUUUAACAACUUGGCAAGUUAGUAAUUUGCUUUUGGUAAUAAAUAAUCAUCUCACUAAUUUUCCAAUCAAGACUUUGAUUAGACUAGAGAAUAAAUCGUGGGGUGCAUGAAAUUUCUAUCAACAAUCCAACCGCUCGUAUUAGGUCAUACCGGUAUUUUUUACACAGUACACACAGAUUUCUUUAGGACCUACUAUUUCGUUAAUAUUGAUUAUUUAUCAAAAUUAUCUUUUUCAAGAGAUUUGGCAAAUUUAAUCUUUCAUUUUUAAUUUUCAAAACUUUUAUUAUUAUUCACACAACCAUUAAUUGAUAAACUUGGAAUAUAUACUCAGAAGGCAUUAGGAUCUGUCUCUGAAGCAACCA